rnacentral:rRNA from 1 species
GCGGUGAAAUGCGUAGAUAUCGUCUGGAACGCCUAUGGUGAAAACAGGCGACUGGGGAUGUGCUGACGCUGAGACACGAAAGCCAGGGGAGCAAACGGGAUUAGAUACCCCGGUAGUCCUGGCCCUAAACGAUGUCCACUAGAUCGCAGAAUCUCUGACGGUUUUGCGGUCGUAGCAAAAGUGCUAAGUGGACCGCCUGGGAAGUACGGUCGCAAGGCUAAAACUUAAAGGAAUUGACGG